AAACAUGCUAAACAAAAUCAACACAUGGCCUCACAAGAAUAAUUUGAAACUGGAAAAAGCUAAUAUUUUUAGCUUCACCUCGUACAAAUCUUUUGCGAGAGCAUAUUUCUUAAAAAAAUAUCCAUUUAAUAUAAAAAAAAUUCAAACAGCUCUGUCGAUGUUUUACCACUAAUAGCCUACGACGGGAGUAAUCAGAACAUUUGUUCGGGCUUCGAUGUAUGUUGGAACUUAACAACAAACACAAGAGACAGACGAUUUAUCCUAGUUUAGACUUUCGAGUUUAAUCUCGAGUAGUAGCCUUUAUGUCCGAUCGGCGUUAGACUUUGCGUUGUAUUGGGUGUAUUGUAUUGUUCGUAGUUAUAAGAGCAAGGCUAAUGAUUUAGCCGGCUGAAGGCUGUAUAGCAAUGCCAUGUCACAUAAAGCCCCUGCUACAGCCGGCUCAUAUAAUAGGUUGGCUGUUAGGCUAGUUGUAUUACAGAGCUAAUAUUUAAUGACUGAAGAUGUAUAUCAUCUGCUGUUGUCUGUAUCUUUGUAGCCAUCCAUCAAACUACUAAGGUCGCUUGUUUGAUAAUCAAGAUAAAGGCUUCACAGAUUGCCAUGCUGCUCCAUCGAUGGCCGGUUUUGAUGACAGGCAGUAGUCAGGAAAGAACAGAGCAAUAUUCCUAAAAUUAAAAAAAUUCAAAUACAUCUCACUAAAGAAUAAUCAGGUAAAAUUGAUGAGCAAUGGAAGAUGCAUAUUAUGCUUUGCAUUCAAGCAAUAGGUCCGUACGACAUGAUAGGCUGAGGUUGCGAGCUUGCGGCGGCGGUCGGACAGGCUACCGCUGAGUGACGCCGGCAAGACCUCGAGAGGUAGUGAGGCACCGCGACGUCGCAGGUCGGUCCGAUGCCAUCCGCCAUGGCUGAAGAUUCGCCCCGCCGCCGAAGAGCAGCUAGUCGCCCAGCCCCGUGCGGUCCAGCCGCGCGGACGAGUCCCCACCGCCGCCGAGCAACCCAGCUUUGCGCGGCUCCGCCAGUGCUGCCGGACACGCAGCCACCGUACCCCAGCCCGUGCGGGCGCGCCCCACGCUGACACGAGAUUUGCCGUAGGAAGAGAGGGAAGGCGCGGAGUCCGCACGGGAUCGAGUGGGAGAAAACGUGAGGAGAGAAACGUCGGCUUAGCGCUUGCAGCUGGCUGGAAACGGGCGGUAUCAGGCUAUUCAGCCGGGGGAAGAGUUGGAUUCUUCCCGUCCGAACGUUCGGACGGGAGCGUCGGUCCGAUGAUUGCCGCGCGACGUUCCCGCGCGAUGGCCGUCCUCCCGCGCGUGGACGCGAGCAGCCGCUAGCACGGACGACGGUUUUUAUUCCAGGUAAGUGCGUUUGUUUUCCCUUUUGUUUCCUUUUUUUUUUCUUUUUUCCUUAUUUUAUCUUCUUUUCUUUUUCUUUAUUAUUUUUUCCCUCUCAUUCGCUGUUGUCUAGUUUUUUUCUUUUUCUUUAUGUUUCUUUUCCUUUUUUCUUGGUAUUUUUAUUUUCUUUAUUUUUUUUGUUUCUUUCCUUUUUUUUCUUAUUUUCUUUUUAUAGCUACAAUUUAAUUUUACUUUAACUUUUUUUGUUUAUCUUAUUUUUUGUUUUACUUUUUUCAUGUGAUUUACAUUAUUUUUUUAGUUUUUUAUCUUAUUAUUUCUUCUUUUUUGUUUUUACUACAAUUAACUAUUAUAUUUGUUUUACUUUAUUUAUUUUUAUAUUUUAUUCUUUUUUGUAUUUAUUUAUUUUUCUUUUAUCUUUUAUCUUUAUGUUUUCUAUAGUUCAUUAUUUUCUAUUUUUCAUUUUUUUCUUACAUAAAUAUUUUAUUUGUUUAAUUUUUUAUUUUUUAUUUUUUGUUUCUUCUCUAAUUAGGUUUUGUUUUAUUCAUGUUUUUUAUUUUUUUUAAUCUUUUUUAUUGUUUAACCUUUUUAUUUUUUCUUUUGUUUUUUUGAGAUUUUUCUUCUUUUCAAGCAUCUUCUAUUUUUAUUUCCUUUUUAAAGAUAUUUUAUGUUGUUUUUUUAUGUUUAUGUAUGAUGUUUUAUUUUUUUUAUGUUUACAUGAUAUAUGUAGUGUUUUAUGAUGUUUUUUUAUGUUCGCUAACAUACAUAUCAUGUUCUUGUAAUAUAUAUGUGAUGUUCUACAGUAUUUUUUGUGAUGUUCACAUAGUACAUAUACGAUGUUCUACGAUUUAUUUAGUGAUGUUCUAUAAUGUAUUUAAUGAUGUUCUAUGUUGUAUUUAGUGAUGUUCCAUUAGUAUAUAUGUGAUCGUCAUGUAAUAUAUAUACGAUGUUCUAUAAUAUUUUUAGUAUCAUAUAUUUAGGGGGUGUUUGGUUGCUACCCACAAUUUGCCACACUUUAACUUAGGCAAGUUUGACCAAGUUGGUAAGUGUUUGGUUCACAACUAAGCUUAGGCAUGAUUCUUUUGGGCUCCACAUGUCAUUGAGUUAAAAAGUGUGGCAAGAUUCCUUUAGGCAUGACAAAGUGUGGCAACCAAUUUGCUAGCCACACUUUUUGUGGCUUGCCACACUUACCUAAAGUUAGUUGUGGUAGAUUGUGGCUAGCAACCAAACAUCCUCUUAGUGAUGUUGACAUAAUAUAUAUGUGAUAUUCUGUAAUAUUUUAGGAAUGUUCUAUGGUGUAUUCUGUGAUGUUCGCGUAGUAUAUAUAUGUACGUUCUUACAGUAUACAAUGAUGUUCUAUGAUGUAUUUUAUGAUGUAUUUUCUUUUAUGUUUCUUUUAUUUUUCCCUCCCGAUCGUUGCUGUUAGUUUUCUUCUCUUUUUUUGUUUCUUUUUUCUUUUUUCUUUUUCUUUUUAUUUAUUUAUUUAUUUCCUUUUCUUUUUUUUCUUUUUUCUUUUAUUUUUUCUUAUUUUAUUUUAUUUUUCUUUAUCUUUUCAUUUUCCUUCCUGCCCGUUGUUGUAUAGUUUUCUUUUUUUGUUUCCUAUUUGUUUUUUCUUGGUAUUUUUCUUUAUUUUGUUUUUUUUUCUUUUUAUUUUUCCCUAAUUCAUGUUUAUAGAUUCAAUUUAUUUUUAUUUUUCUUUUAUGUUAUUUUAUAUUUUUAUCUUUCUUUUAUUUUUUCUCUUUAUUUUUUUAUUCCUUUUUGUGCUUCAUUUUUUCCCUUUCUUUUUUUCAAUUUUUAUUUCAUUCAUCUUUUUAUUUUUUUGUUUCUUUUGGCAAACAUUAAUUUAGUGCUGGUUACAAAGGUGUUUAUUAGAUUAUUUUUUGUGGAAUACAUACAUGCAUGUGAUUGAAACGCUACAAACGUCUUGAUAUUGAUCUUAUGGUGGUUGUUUAAUUUUUUUAGUGGACUAAUAUCAUAGGAAGCGAGUGAUAUUAUUUUUCGUUUCUGUUUCAUUCAAUUUUCCAUAUUAUUUUUAAUUUUAUUUUUUAUUACUAUCAUUAAUUAGUUUUAUUUAUUCUUUUUUAUUUCUUUUUUGUCUUUAUGUUUUUAUAGAUUUUUUAUUUUUCUACUUUAUCUUACUUAAUUAUUUUUUAUAUUUACUUUUUUCUUUUCUAUAUUUCAUGAGAUGUGAUGUAAAAUGAUGUUUUUUGCAGCGUUCAUGUGGUAUACAAUGCCAUUUUUUGAUGUUUUUUUAUGAUGUUUAUGUAGUAUAUGUAAUGUUCUAUGGUUUUUAUGAUGUUCAUGUGUUAUAUAUGUAAUGUUCUAUGAUAUUUUUUUAUGUUCGUGUUAUAUUUUUGUGAUGUUCUACGAUUUUUUUGUGAUGUUCGUGUAAUAUAUAUCUGAUAAUGCAAUAUUCUAUAUUGUAUUUGGCGAUGUUCUAUAUUGCAUUUGGUGAUGUUCGAUGGUUUAUUUAGUGAUGUUCACUUAGUAUAUAUGAUGAUGUACAUAGUGAUAUUCACGUAAUAUAUAUGUGAUGUUCUAUAGUGUAUUUAAUGGUGUUUUAUAUCGUAUUUAGUGAUGUUCUAUGAUGUAUUUAGCGAUGUUCAUGUUAAUGUUCGAUAGUGAAUUUAGUGACGUUCAUUUAGUAUACAUGUGAUGUUUUUUUUGAUAUAUUUAGUGAUGUUCAGGUAAUAUAUAUACGAUGUUCUAUAAUGUAUUUAGUAAUGUUCUAUGGUGUAUUUAGUGAUGUUCACUUAGUAUACAUGUGGUGUUCUAUGAUGUACUGAGUGAUGUUUAUGUAAUGUAUUUGUGAUGUUCUGUAAUAUAUUUAGUGAUGUUCCGUAAUGUAUUUAGUUAUGUUCACUUAACAUACAUGUGAUGUUUGCCUUUUAUUUUUUCCAUAUUCCAUUGUAUAUGGUAUACACAUGAUGAAUGAGAUACUGUAUGAUUAUCUUUAAGUAUUUUCACAACAUAUUAUGUAGUAUUCAUACAACAUGUUAUGUAGUAUUUAUACAACAUGUUAUGUAGUAUUUUCCCAUGGUCCAUAUGUUAUAUUAUACACAUGAUGUUCUACUUGUGUAAUGUUAUUUAUUAUAUAAUUAUAUAUUUUUAUUUUAUUUAUUUAUCGGUAUUAUAAUACCAAUCAUUUAAGUGUGUUUUCAUAUGGAUAUUGUUUUUUCUAAAUUUAAAAUAUUUUUUUGUGAAGGCGGAAUAUUGUUUUAUGAAUCUAGAACACCACCUUUAUUCAAUAAUAAAAGAAAAUAUUCUAUCUUUAUGAAAUACAUAUUCGUUAAUAGAAUAUAUUCAUGUUGAGAUCUUAUUUUGAAGCAUUUAGUAUAAGGAAUCCAAUAGUGCAAUCUGAAUUUAAUUUGGAUACUUGAUUUGCUAACUAUAACGAAGAUGGAACAUCGUCUCUUAUGAAGAUGGAACAUUAUUUUUUAAUGAAGAUGGAACAUCGUCGCCAUGUUUAUAAUACCAAUACGGUUCUUAGAAUAUUUUAUUAUGAAGAUGGAACAUUAUUUUUUAAACCUUAAACAUCGUUUAUCUUUAUAUGAUAAUUAUUCGUUAUUAAAAUUUUAUCUAAAUAUAUCCAUGUGGGAUCUUGUUUUGAAGGAUUUAUUACAAGAAAUCAAAUGGUGUAAUCGAAAUUUAAUUUGGAUAUUUUGUUUAGGAGUUAUGACUUUUUUUUCAUUAAAAGCAUGCGUUGUAGGUAACAAGGAUAUGUUGCUGCACUAUCACCUCGCACCAGCUGCGCAUGGUAAAGCCACGAGCCAAAUUUAAUUAGUAUGUGUGAGAAUAAAUAUUUACCAGCACCGGCCAUAGAAAAAGUACAUUAAAUGUCUAAUUUGGAAACAGUCUAAGAACGACGUGCGCUGCAGAGGUAAAUGUAAUUUUCGGCACUAAAACCGUGGGAAUCUAAAUAUAUUCAUGUGAGAUCUUAUUUUGAAAGAUUUAUUGUAAGAAAUCUAAUGGUACAAUCGGAAUUUAAUUUGGAUAUUUGGUUAAGAAGUUAUGACUUUUUUUAGUUCAUUUAAAAAUCAUUACGUGUAUGAGUCAGAGCUAACGUGGGUGUGUUGCUUUAUGUACUACUUGUACGAUAGCACAGCACGACGUGGAAAAAGGCUAAUAAAAAUAGAUUCGGGCGCCAUCAACCGGAAAAUUCCGAGUACCAUACGCGCGCAAACGUCUGACGCGGGAAAUUCGAGCGGGAAUCUGCCGGACAAAGGAUGCGGUCCGAACGGCCGGACCGCAAGAGCCCCCGGGAAGAGUUUACCGCCGGCUGGUUCUCUCUCCAUUUCUCUCUCUCUGCCACAUCAUGAUUUUUUCCUACAUAGCUUGGAUUCAGCCGGCUGAAUCAGCCUCAUCUUUAUAUUGGUAGAGAUAAUUGAGAGGUGACUUGCUAUUAUAGAUGAAUUCAAAGAUAGUGUUCUAUUUCUAAGGCCUUGUUUAGUUUGGAAAAAUUUUUGGAUUUCGCUACUGUAGCACUUUCGUUUGUUUGUGGCAAAUAUUAUCCAAUCAUAGACUAACUAGGAUCAAAAGAUUCGUCUCGUGAUUUACAGGUAAACUGCGUAAUUAAUUUUUGUUUUCGUCUAAAUUUAAUGCUUCAUGCAUGUGCCGCAAGAUUCGAUGUGACGGCUUGAAAAAUUUUGGAAACUAAACAAGGCCUAAUAC
rnacentral:lncRNA from 1 species